AGAUUGAACGCUAGCGGCAUGCCUAACACAUGCAAGUCGAACGGUAACAGGCCCUUCGGGGUGCUGACGAGUGGCGGACGGGUGAGUAAUGCGUAGGAAUCUACCCACGAGUGGGGGAUAGCCCGGAGAAAUCCGGAUUAAUACCGCAUAUGCCCUACGGGGUAAAGCGGGGGAUCGUAAGACCUCGCGCUGGUGGAUGAGCCUACGUCCGAUUAGUUAGUUGGUGGGGUAAAGGCCUACCAAGGCAGUGAUCGGUAUCCGGCCUGAGAGGGCGCACGGACACACUGGAACUGAAACACGGUCCAGACUCCUACGGGAGGCAGC
rnacentral:rRNA from 1 species